rnacentral:misc_RNA from 1 species
CAGGCAGCCACAAAAAGAGAGGAGGCCCUGAAGCGAAAGAAUCAUGUCUUUAAAAGGACAGGGGGUGUAUCCUCUAGUGGAUAUUCUAAUUCUACUAAGAGAAGAAGAAGCAUGGAAGAUGUUGGUCCAAGCAACUAUGGAAGCAAUGCUGCGAAUCAAAUGGGUGCAGGAGGAGCUAGCACAUCUGAUUUAUCUUAUUCUAAGAAGGGUAAUUUUGAAACAGGUAGGGUCAGUGGAAUUAGUGAGCCCUAUGGCACAAGGGAUGUAUCCCAGUUUGGAAUUCAAGCCCUACUGAUGGAGAAAGCUAGGACAGAAAUUCGUCAAAAACUAAAUGAAUGGAACUCAGCUACAGU